UAGAGUUUGAUCAUGGCUCAGAUUGAACGCUGGCGGCAGGCUUAACACAUGCAAGUCGAACGGUAACAGGGAAUAGCUCGCUAUUCUGCUGACGAGUGGCGGACGGGGGAGAAAUGCUUUGGGAUAUGCCUUAGUGUGGGGGAUAACUAUUGGAAACGAUAGCUAAUACCGCAUAAUGUCUUCGGACCAAAGAGGGGGACCUUCGGGCCUCUCGCGCUAAGAUUAGCCCAGGUGGGAUUAGCUAGUUGGUGAGGUAAUGGCUUACCAAGGCGACGAUCCCUAGCUGGUCUUAGAGGAUGACCAGCCACACUGGAACUGAGACACGGUCCAGACUCCUACGGGAGGCAGCAGUGGGGAAUAUUGCACAAUGGAGGAAACUCUGAUGCAGCCAUGCCGCGUGUAUGAAGAAGGCCUUCGGGUUGUAAAGUACUUUCAGUCGUGAGGAAGGGUGUGUAGUUAAUAGCUGCAUAUCUUGACGUUAGCGACAGAAGAAGCACCGGCUAACUCCGUGCCAGCAGCCGCGGUAAUACGGAGGGUGCGAGCGUUAAUCGGAAUUACUGGGCGUAAAUCGCAUGCAGGUGGUUUGUUAAGUCAGAUGUGAAAGCCCGAGGCUCAACCUCGGAAGGUCAUUUGAAACUGGCAAACUAGAGUACUGUAGAGGGGGGUAGAAUUUCAGGUGUAGCGGUGAAAUGCGUAGAGAUCUGAAGGAAUACCAGUGGCGAAGGCGGCCCCCUGGACAGAUACUGACACUCAGAUGCGAAAGCGUGGGGAGCAAACAGGAUUAGAUACCCUGGUAGUCCACGCCGUAAACGAUGUGUACUUGGAGGUUGUGGCCUUGAGCCGUGGCUUUCGGAGCUAACGCGUUGAGUAGACCGCCUGGGGAGUACGGUCGCAAGAUUAAAACUCAAAUGAAUUGACGGGGGCCCGCACAAGCGGUGGAGCAUGUGGUUUAAUUCGAUGCAACGCGAAGAACCUUACCUACUCUUGACAUCUAGAGAAGCCAGUGGAGACACAGGUGUGCCUUCGGGAACUCUAAGACAGGUGCUGCAUGGCUGUCGUCAGCUCGUGUUGUGAAAUGUUGGGUUAAGUCCCGCAACGAGCGCAACCCUUAUCCUUGUUUGCCAGCACGUAAUGGUGGGAACUCCAGGGAGACUGCCGGUGAUAAACCGGAGGAAGGUGGGGAUGACGUCAAGUCAUCAUGGCCCUUAUGACCAGGGCUACACACGUGCUACAAUGGGCAGUACAGAGGGGCGCAAUACCGCGAGGUGGAGCCAAUCCCAGAAAACUGCUCGUAGUCCGGAUCGGAGUCUGCAACUCGACUCCGUGAAGUCGGAAUCGCUAGUAAUCGAGAAUCAGAAUGUCGCGGUGAAUACGUUCCCGGGCCUUGUACACACCGCCCGUCACACCAUGGGAGUGGGUUGCAAAAGAAGUAAGUAGCUUAACCUUCGGGAUGGCGCUUACCACUUUGUGAUUCAUGACUGGGGUGAAGUCGUAACAAGGUAGCCGUAGGGGAACCUGCGGCUGGAUCACCUCCUUA
rnacentral:rRNA from 1 species